rnacentral:rRNA from 1 species
UACAUGUGGGGCAAGCGUUGUUCGGAAUUACUGGGCAUAAAGGGUGCGUAGGUGGUUUGCUAAGUCAGGGGUGAAAUCCCGGCGGCCCAACCGUGGAACUGCCUUUGAUACUGGCGAACUUGAGUGCGUGAGGGGUAACCGGAACGAGCAGUGUAGCGGUGAAAUGCGUAGAUAUUGCUCGGAAGGCCAGAGGCGAAGGCGGGUUGCU